AAGCCGACCUUAAGAUAAGAUAUCCCUUCGUAAGAGUAAGACCUCUCAUAGACUAUGAGUUUGAUAGGCUCAAAGUGUAAGCGUGGUGACACGUUCAGCUUGCGAGUACUAAUCGGUCGAGGGCUUUUCCU
rnacentral:rRNA from 1 species